GGAAUGUGACUCAGUGGUAGAGUGCUUGCCUUGCAUGUAUGAGGCUCUGAGUUCAAUUCCUCAGCACCA
rnacentral:tRNA from 1 species